AUUGAACGCUGGCGGCAGGCUUAACACAUGCAAGUCGAGCGGGGUGAUGGUGCUUGCACUAUCACUUAGCGGCGGACGGGUGAGUAAUGCUUAGGAAUCUGCCUAUUAGUGGGGGACAACAUCUCGAAAGGGAUGCUAAUACCGCAUACGUCCUACGGGAGAAAGCAGGGGAUCACUUGUGACCUUGCGCUAAUAGAUGAGCCUAAGUCGGAUUAGCUAGUUGGUGGGGUAAAGGCCUACCAAGGCGACGAUCCGUAGCGGGUCUGAGAGGAUGAUCCGCCACACUGGAACUGAGACACGGCCCAGACUCCUACGGGAGGCAGCAGUGGGGAAUUUUGGACAAUGGGCGAAAGCCUGAUCCAGCAAUGCCGCGUGCAGGAUGAAGGCCUUCGGGUUGUAAACUGCUUUUGUACGGAACGAAAAAGCUCCUUCUAAUACAGGGGGCCCAUGACGGUACCGUAAGAAUAAGCACCGGCUAACUACGUGCCAGCCGCCGCGGUAA
rnacentral:rRNA from 1 species